CCCAGUCUUCACCAGGAUUCGAACCCAGGACCCCCUUUCGAAACUAAUAGCAAUCAAAAUCAGCUUCAAGAUUGUACAGUAACAGAGGGACAAGCAGA
rnacentral:sRNA from 1 species